UUACCCUUUGUAUAUUUAAUCAUCUGAAAUAAGAAUAGCCAAUUAUUCAUUAUUAUUUAUUUAAAAUAUUUAUAACCCGCCCCUCCAGUACAAUAUUGAUUGGGGUGGCGCACAGUAGUGACACAAUAAAAGCAAUACACAAUGUAGAACAAAAACCCAUUAAAACAAACCUAAUUAAAAUUAAAAACCCGCCAGGCUGUAGUAAAACAGAUUAAAAAGUUUCUCCAAAUGGGUACAGCAACCAGCCUCAGAACUGAUAAUCAAGACACUGAAGUGGUGAAUAGCUUCUGCCUUUUAAGAUCGACCGUCAACAGUAAAGGAUCUGGCCGCAGACUAGCACUUGGUACGGUAGAAAUGAAGGCCUUGGAAAGCAUAUUUAGAUGCUGUGAUGUGUCUAUACCUAUGAAGAUUAGAAUCGUUCGUACAGUGGUGUUUCCCGUGACACUCUAUGGAUGCGAAAGCUCGACUUUGAAGAAGCAGGAUAGAAAAAGAAUUGACGCUUUUGAACGUUGGUGCUGGAGAAGACUUUUGAGGAUACCAUGGACAGCCAGGAAAACAAACAAAUGGAUCAUAGAAAAUAUCAAUCCAGAAUUUUCACUCGAGGCACAAAUGACCAGGCUCAAACUAUCAUACUUUGGACACAUUAUGAGAAGACCCAGCUCCCUUGAGAAGUCUGUAAUGCUGGGAAAAGUUGAAGGAAAGAGGAGAAGAGGAUGACCAGCAGCAAGGUGGAUGGACUCAGUUAUGACAGCAAUGAAUGCACCACUGAGAGACCUUAAAGGCCAAGUUGAAGACAGACCAUCCUGGAGAGAACCUAUCUAUGUGGUUGCUAAGAGUCGACACCGACUUGACAGCACUUAAUCAAUCAAACAAGUACGUUCCAAGAUCUUUUUUCUUUGCACUGAGGUGCUGGAUCCUCUCCAGCCAAGCAGCUCAGGAAAUUGACAGCUUGAGUCACAAUGCCCACCUUGCCCCACACCACCCAGCAAAUGCAGCCCUGCCCCACCCCCCACCUCCCCAGAUCAGGGGAAGAAAAAAAAUCUUUGUAGCACAAAAGGAGAAGACAGGCCAGAGACCUUUGUGAUAGGCAAAAGACUCUGUGGUGUUGUCUGCUUUAGCACUGAAAAGAGAGCACCAGCCAGCUGGAAGUCUAUGACCAGGCUAGCAUCAUUCCCUUGGCAGAACUCAUUGGGCAGAAUGCUGGAAGACAAGGUUUGCUUUACAGAAGGCCAAAAGCCCUUACCAAUGCUAUGAGGAAAACAUGAAAGGAGCCGCUAGAAAAGCAAAAGGAGGGCCCCCCAGUUCCAUUUCCUUGAGUUCCAGCCUUGGGUGACAUCAGCCAGCCUCCAAAUCCUAAACCCAGAGCCAAAGUCCUUUAAUCAAGUACAAAAAUGUUCGAGUAGGAUCAAGUCCAGAGCAGAACACAGAAAGAACAAGCAGACCAAGCCAGCUUUAGGACUGUGUGUAUUCCCAGGGAAGAGCCAAGCUAUGCCUGCAUCUAAGCAAGAGAGAAUACCACUCUGGCCACAGCUGUGAUCCUUAGUCCACUCUCUGUUGGUCUCCCGAGUGGCAGGAACACAGAGGGGAGGGGGAGAUGUUGCCAAUUGAAUGGCACUGACUGACACCGACACACACCCGUUGACAGCAGCUUGACCU